GAAAGAAGAUGGAGCCACAGAUGAUCAGAAAGCUUCAUGUGUUGAUGGAGAAUCUUCUGAAUCUGCCGGAUCGUCAGAAAAGGACCUCCGAAAUGCUGUGGGCAUAUUAAAGAAGAGAGGUCCUGCUUUGUCAGACAGAAAAUUGAACCCAGAAUUCUUUCAGAAACUUGAAGAAAGGAGUUCAAAUGAUUUGCCUGUGGAGGUGGUUGUCCCUCGUCAAUGUCUUAAUGCAUCUAAUACACCAACUGAAGUAGAGUCUGCGCCAGACAAAGCAGAAACAGGACAGAGAAUAAUGAGGAAAAGCCAUAGUGAUGCUAGGUAUAGUAACUCGGAGAGUCAAACUUCGGGGGUAAGUGGCAGAGAACAUGAUACUGUUGAUGAUGGAGAUUUGAAUCAGAGGGAACAAUCCAGUUACCGUGCU
rnacentral:misc_RNA from 1 species